GAUGAACGCUGGCGGCGUGCCUAAUACAUGCAAGUCGAGCGAACGGACGAGAAGCUUGCUUCUCUGAUGUUAGCGGCGGACGGGUGAGUAACACGUGGAUAACCUACCUAUAAGACUGGGAUAACUUCGGGAAACCGGAGCUAAUACCGGAUGAUAUUUUGAACCGCAUGGUUCAAAAGUGAAAGACGGUCUUGCUGUCACUUAUAGCUGGUUCCGCGCUGCAUUAGCUAGUUGGUAAGGUAACGGCUUACCAAGGCAACGAUGCAUAGCCGACCUGAGAGGGUGAUCAGCCACACUGGAACUGAGACACGGUCCAGACUCCUACGGGAGGCAGCAGUAGGGAAUCUUCCGCAAUGGGCGAAAGCCUGACGGAGCAACGCCGCGUGAGUGAUGAAGGUCUUCGGAUCGUAAAACUCUGUUAUUAGGGAAGAACAUAUGUGUAAGUAACUGUGCACAUCUUGACGGUACCUAAUCAGAAAGCCACGGCUAACUACGUG
rnacentral:rRNA from 1 species